AACGUAGGUGGCGAGCGUUAUCCGGAUUUACUGGGCGUAAAGCGUGUGCAGGUGGAGGUUUAAGUGGUGUAUGAAAUCGCCCGGCUCAACCGGGCGGGGUUAUGCCAGACUGGACUUCUAGAGGGUGGGAGAGGGAGGUGGAAUUCCGGGUGUAGUGGUGAAAUGCGUAGAGAUCCGGAGGAACCCCAGAGGCGAAGGCGGCCUCCUGGCCCACGACUGACACUCAGACACGACAGCAUGGGGAGCGAACGGG
rnacentral:rRNA from 1 species